rnacentral:misc_RNA from 1 species
UUUCCGUAGGUGAACCUGCGGAAGGAUCAUUGUUGAAAGCUUGCAUAAUGUCAGUGGACAUGCCAACUUGUUGGAACAUAUAUAGGGGGAGCUGCUUUGUCUCAACCUGUGGUCGAUUGGUGUGUUGUUGAGGGGACAUCUGUACCUCUUCCUAACUCUUAAAUUGGCACGGGAUGUGCCAAGGAAAUUAAAUUGGAAAUGUCGUCCCCUAGCCCUUGCAUUGAAGCAUGCAUUGGGACUCGAUGAGGAGACAUGUGAAAAUGUUGGUGUGAGUGAUAGAAUGACUCUCGGCAAUGGAUAUCUUGGCUCUCGUAUUGAUGAAGAACGCAGCAAAAUGCGAUACUUGGUGUGAAUUGCAGAAUCUCGUGAGUCAUUGAGUUUUUGAAUGCUAGUUGCGCCCGAAGCUAUUUUUUUGGUCGAAGGCACACCUGCCUGGGUGUCAUGCAUUGAGUUUUCUUGAGACCUCCUCCUCCGUGAGACGCAUUGCUUGUUUGAUUUUUAUUUGGGAGGGGGGGUGACUUACCUCUUGGGUGUACGUUGGCCUCCCGUUCCCUGUUGUGCGGUUGGUUUAAAUUUGGGGUCCUUGGUGGCAUGCGUCGUUGAUGAGUUGUUGUAAACAAUGUUUGACGUGUGUUGGGAAGUGACCCUGUACGGUCCCAUGGUUUCCUUAACACUUAUACAGAUUUGCCAUUUCGACCCC